rnacentral:rRNA from 1 species
GAUGAACGCUGGCGGCGUGCCUAAUACAUGCAAGUCGAGCGAAUGGAUUAAGAGCUUGCUCUUAUGAAGUUAGCGGCGGACGGGUGAGUAACACGUGGGUAACCUGCCCAUAAGACUGGGAUAACUCCGGGAAACCGGGGCUAAUACCGGAUAACAUUUUGAACCGCAUGGUUCGAAAUUGAAAGGCGGCUUCGGCUGUCACUUAUGGAUGGACCCGCGUCGCAUUAGCUAGUUGGUGAGGUAACGGCUCACCAAGGCAACGAUGCGUAGCCGACCUGAGAGGGUGAUCGGCCACACUGGGACUGAGACACGGCCCAGAAUCCUACGGGAGGCAGCAGUAGGGAAUCUUCCGCAAUGGACGAAAGUCUGACGGAGCAACGCCGCGUGAGUGAUGAAGGCUUUCGGGUCGUAAAACUCUGUUGUUAGGGAAGAACAAGUGCUAGUUGAAUAAGCUGGCACCUUGACGGUACCUAACCAGAAGGCCACGGCUAACUACGUGCCAGCCGCCGCUGUAA